UUUGCUAUUUAUACACAAGAAAGCACCUGAACCACCUAUAGCAUUCUACUUGUCAAGGCAAGACAUGCUUACUCUUGCUCCUUUCAGUCUUGAUCUCUUACCAGUAUAUUAGUAAAUCUCUCCCCACUCCUCUUCAACCGAGAGAGAUGAAUAUAAUAAACCAACAGGAAACAGAUGAGCAACAUUUAAAUUGCACGGCACAAGAAAAUCUUUUGAUAAAUCAAAAAACUCUAUUUGUCUCUUCGUAAACGUAUGUUUAGUAAUCAUGCUGUCUGAUCUAGGGCCAAAACCGGCACAGGUAUAACCUGCAAUUACCUCAUUACAACACUUAAGGAAUGAGCGAAAUAAUACUUCUGCGUUCAGUAUAAACUUAAGUUAUUUUAACUGGCUCUUCUUCAAGAAUGAGAGGAUGAAUCUGUUUUCUCGGCCAAAUAGUGCUCAAGCAUAUCUUCUUCAUCAUCUGUCCACACCAAAAAAAAACAUGUUAAUUUGAUUCAGAAACAAAUAAACAGAAGAAAACAAGAACAAGAAAAUUGACCUUCAAAAUCAUCAUCAUCAU
rnacentral:lncRNA from 1 species